rnacentral:rRNA from 1 species
UACGUAGGGGGCAAGCGUUGUCCGGAUUUAUUGGGCGUAAAGAGCGUGUAGGCGGCCAGUUAGGUCCGUUGUGAAAACUCGAGGCUCAACCUCGAGACGCCGAUGGAAACCAAUUGGCUAGAGUCCGGAAGAGGAGAGUGGAAUUCCCGGUGUAGCGGUGAAAUGCGCAGAUAUCGGGAAGAACGCCCGUGGCUAAGGCGGCUCUCUAGUACGGUACUGACGCUGAGACGCGAAAGCGUGGGGAGCGAACAGG